ACCGUAGCUCAGUUGGUAGAGCAUGAGACUCUUAAUCUCAGGGUUGUGGGUUCAAGCCCCAUGUUGGGCA